GCUCUGCCCUGCAGUUGAUCCACCUGGUCCUGAAAAUGGUGAGCGUGGAUGCCGGGGAAGUGACUGCCUGUGGUCAGUUUUUGUAGCUGGUUUGGGAUUGUGGGCUUUUGCCAUUCAAGAGGACUUACCUGUAGAGUUCUUAUGGGGCUGCAGGCUAGUCAGGCUGUGUGUGCAAUGCCAGGACCUAAGGAAUAACUGGAAAUGGCCAUCAUUAGUCAAGUGAGAGGCCUAGAAAAGGGCAUGUCAAGGAUUCAGCCAAGCUAUUUCAAGACCAAGCAAGAACAGGUUAAGAGAGAUGAAGUUGCCUGGUGGCUGCGGCCAGGGCAGGUGGGGAAGAGGGCAGAGGGUAGGGAGAUGGGGAGGGCCUCCCAUCUGUGUAUUUUUAUUCUCCAGGGCACCAAUAAAAGUCCUCCCUUGACCUCUGUGCUGCUAAUUAUCAAGGCACUGGUUGGCCCACUCAGAGAGAGAAAUUUGCUUUGGGCCAAGUUUUCUUUCAGCAGAGCCCAGAGAAGGGCUGGAGGCCUGACCAGUGGGGCCGAAGCCAAAAUUGCUAUAUCCGGAAGAUCUACCAUCAGACCCAGAACAGCCUCAUCCCUGAGUCACACUUUCCUGCCACCUCGGUGUACCUCCCAGCACUCAUGUAUUCUGCACAGGGCUGUUUUUUCAUCUUAAACCAGCGGACAACCUUCUUCGAAGCAGGCACUAUUCUCUCUACUUAAAAGAAAUUCAAGGCUCAGAGUGAGAACACUGGUACAGAAGAAACGCUUGCCCCUCGGUCUAAUCCCAGAGCCUGAAGGAACUCUUUCCAAGAAUCCACAUUUGUGUAUUUCAUGGACGUUUCUGGAGGGAAGCCCCUCCUGAAGAAGGAGACAAACUUCACCCCCCAGAACAGCAGGGACCUCACCUAAACUCACAGCUCUGACGACCACCAUCAAGGCAGACGUCGCCUUUCAGUUCCUGUCCAGACCUGUCUGCAGAGCGGAGGGCCACAGGUUCACCUGCCAUCGCCCUGAGCUUGCCCAUGGCACCUCAGGCCAGUGUCCCAAAUUGACCAGACUGCUUCCCCUACACCGGUGGCAUUUCCUGGGCACCUGAGCUGAGGAUGAGCUUGCCUCUUUCCUUCCUCCGCCUCGCCCUCACGCACCUGCCAGC
ensembl:lncRNA